CCUAGUGGCGGACGGGUGAGUAACGCGUGAGUAACCUGCCUUUCAGAGGGGAAUAACGUUCUGAAAAGAACGCUAAUACCGCAUAACGUACAGUUACCGCAUGGUAGCAGUACCAAAGGAGCAAUCCGCUGAGAGAUGGACUCGCGUCCGAUUAGCUAGUUGGUGGGGUAAAGGCCUACCAAGGCGACGAUCGGUAGCCGGACUGAGAGGUUGAACGGCCACAUUGGGACUGAGACACGGCCCAGACUCCUACGGGAGCAGCAUG
rnacentral:rRNA from 1 species